GAAUUUUGGGGUCCAAAAGAGACGCAUGGUCACAUUUUAAAACUGCCUUAUAGACACCUAUUUUAGUAAAGCAAAUUUGACUGGCAGUUUUGCGAAUGGCAAAAAUCUAAAUGCUGUUUGUCAGCAACUUCAACUUAUAUUCCAAGUGAAAACAAUUAAUUAAACGUUUAAUCAAAAUUAAUCAAAAUCAAAGUACAUGGGGGAUUAUUCAGGGUAUUCCAAC
rnacentral:lncRNA from 1 species